rnacentral:rRNA from 1 species
CCCUACUCCUACGGGAGGCAGCAGUAGGGAAUCUUCCGCAAUGGACGAAAGUCUGACGGAGCAACGCCGCGUGAGUGAUGAAGGUUUUCGGAUCGUAAAGCUCUGUUGUUAGGGAAGAACAAGUGCAAGAGUAACUGCUUGCACCUUGACGGUACCUAACCAGAAAGCCACGGCUAACUACGUGCCAGCAGCCGCGGUAAUACGUAGGUGGCAAGCGUUGUCCGGAAUUAUUGGGCGUAAAGGGCUCGCAGGCGGUUUCUUAAGUCUGAUGUGAAAGCCCCCGGCUCAACCGGGGAGGGUCAUUGGAAACUGGGAAACUUGAGUGCAGAAGAGGAGAGUGGAAUUCCACGUGUAGCGGUGAAAUGCGUAGAGAUGUGGAGGAACACCAGUGGCGAAGGCGACUCUCUGGUCUGUAACUGACGCUGAGAGCGAAAGCUGACGGCCUU